rnacentral:lncRNA from 1 species
AUUUAUACCAGUAAAAUAAUUUAAGUGUAAAAAGUGCAAUGUGUAUGUAAGGUACCGGACUUAUAAAAUUAUAAAGUUACGGUGUCCAUUUGGUUUGAAAGCUAUUUGAAUGAUUCCGGUGAGGUUGCGGUAGAAUGUAAUAUACCGGAUUUUAAAUAUAAAAAUAAAAAUAAAUAAAAAUAGUGUGAGAUACUAUUUUUAUUGGAUUUAGAAGAGUAAAACAUAAGUCAGAAGUGACUUGUGCUGAAAUCGGAAUGAAAACAGAAGAUCUAGAAUUUUCUGUUGGAAACGGGACAGAUAAAUAGGCAGAAAAUGCACAGUCUCAGAAAAUUAUGAAAAUUGGAGGAUAAGCCAGAAAUAUUUUUAUGAGGCUAGAUUUAAGGUUUCUGAGAGUACGAUUGUGACCCAACCCGAGAAUUUGAUACGGUUUGGGAUCUUGGUUGCUCCUGGUUGGAGUGUGUGCGAAUUCCCAAGUGAGAAUUUCGCCCCAGUUGUGAUUGGGUCUACGCUUGCGAGCGAGAGGCGCUACGCAUAUGUUGAGAUGGGUUUAGGCUGUAGGCCUACGUAGUAUUGGUGGCCUUUGGCUCACCUGUGAAAAACCGAGGAAAGUGAUUUGGCGAGUAGCCUUAUUGGGGAGUUUGACUUGAGUUCACGAACGAUGUGCUCGUGUGAGUCGUUGCGAAAGUGGUAUGAUGUUGACCGUGGCAUAUGGUAUUAGGUAAUGAGGUGCUCUUGGCGAGGCCUUGAGCUAAUGGCCAGCCACGUAGAAGUGGAAUUGGGAUGCGCCGAGGUGGGCCAUCUCACGUCAAAGUUAAGGGCUAGUGCAGAAUUAAAGCACUUAUGAUGAAGCGGUGCACCGGUGAUAUUGCUUUUAGGCAAUGUCGGUGAUUGAUUUGGAAUGCAUUCCCUGAAGGGGAAGUAAAUGCAAGGAAGAGUUCUUGCUUGUCAAGUGGCAAGUGGUGUUGGAGAGCGUAGAGUCAUCGAGUUUCGACUUGCACUACCACAUAGAGUGACGGAGACCGUAAUUUACUUUGUGAGGUGUGCCUUGCAAAGUUGGAUGCAUUUGGUAUCAUGAGCUCCGUAGUAGUCCUUUUGGAUAGUUCCGAUGAGUGAAAGGCCACUCCGAAAUGCAAAAGUGCAUUGGAACCCUCGACUAUUUGAUAAGUUGAGUUGGGGUAUGAAUUGGAAUUGAAGUGAGAUAGUUUCGAGGACGAAACUCUUUUUAAGGAGGGGAGGAUGUAAAGUACCGGACUUCUAAAAUUAUAAAGUUACGGUGUCCAUUUGGUUUGAAAGCUAUUUGAAUGAUUCCGGUGAGGUUGCGGUGGAAUGUAAUAUACCGGAUUUUAAAUAUAAAAAUAAAAAUAAAUAAAAAUAGUGUGAGAUACUAUUUUUAUUGGAUUUAGAAGAGUAAAAUAUAAGUCAGAAGUGACUUGUGCUGAAAUCGGAAUGAAAACAGAAGAUCUAGAAUUUUCUGUUGGAAACGGGACAGAUAAAUAGGCAGAAAAUGCACAGUCUCAGAAAAUUAUGAAAAUUGGAGGAUAAGCCAGAAAUAUUUUUAUGAGGCUAGAUUUAAGAUUUCAUAUUUUUCUGACACCCGUAGAGUGAGAAAUAAAAUCCGAAAGCUAUCUGAUAAAGAUUGCAGUUCGGUACAGUUUUCAGUGACCAAACGGGGUCGAAACUGAACCAGUGAU